ensembl:lncRNA
CUCUGGGCUCCACUCAUACAGAGGUUUUAGGGCCUGAGGAGGAAUAAUCUGGGGAAUAAAGUAGCAUUUCCACCAAAUUAGAAGCUGAGAUUCCUGCCUGGUUAUUUCAGUCUUCUCAUGACAAUGUGAACACACAAAAAGAUCAAAGCAGAGCCAGCAAGCCAAGCCACACCCAAAGGGAAGGCUGCUCUCCCUUUCUGCCCCAUUGCAGUGACACUGCUACGGCUGACGAGUUGCUGGAGGUUCUGAAGAUGAUCUCAUCUUAGGCUGUUUGGCUUUCCAAGCUCCCCUGCUGGCUCCCCCCUGUUUAGUCCCCAUCCUCUAGGCUAUUGUUUGACUUUGCCUGGCAC